ACCAAACAGACUUCAAAACCAGAGAGAGAAUAACUUCUAAAUUAUGCAGCUCUUCCUCCGCCAUCUGGAUGCAACAACAAAAACAGAUGAGCUCAAACCUGAGAAAACCUGGAAUCUGCCCAAAUCAAGCCAUUUAUAGCUUCGAGGUAUUAAACAGCCACUAGGAAAGUUGAUGAAUUUGAUGGAGUCAGUGGCAUUUCACAAGCCUUCACAGGCACGGGGUCAUGAAAGGUGCAUGGGAGGAUCCGGACCCUUUGCGCCCAGCAUGCUUUGCUUGCCAUCACCUCCACAUCGCCCUUCGGAGGAAAGCGGCAGCUGGUCAGGCUCCUCCGAGACCUUUCAGGAGAGCCCUGAGAGGUGAGGUGAGGACAAAUGAUAAGGAACUGAGGCCACCGUGAGCAAGAAGAUAUAGAUGGCAGGAACAGUAAGAUAAGCACACAUUAUUUGUGUAAUAGUAAAGCCGUGUUAUUAAAGAGAAGAAUUACCCAAAGAGACUCAGAUAUGGGAGUCCUGGCCUCCGCAGCUCUGGUCUCUGCAGCUGCUCCAGUGAGCGGGACGUAGGAAAGAUACAGCCUCAGCCAUACUGAACCACUUUGAAAGACUUAUUGCUUCGUCUGCUGUGAUCUCCCAGCCAUGUUCAUUUUUCUGUAAUAAAGCUUAACUUGA